AAUACCACCCUUUAAUGUUUGAUGUUCUAACGUUGACCCGUAAUCCGGGUUGCGGACAGUGUCUGGUGGGUAGUUUGACUGGGGCGGUCUCCUCCUAAAGAGUAACGGAGGAGCACGAAGGUUGGCUAAUCCUGGUCGGACAUCAGGAGGUUAGUGCAAUGGCAUAAGCCAGCUUGACUGCGAGCGUGACGGCGCGAGCAGGUGCGAAAGCAGGUCAUAGUGAUCCGGUGGUUCUGAAUGGAAGGGCCAUCGCUCAACGGAUAAAAGGUACUCCGGGGAUAACAGGCUGAUACCGCCCAAGAGUUCAUAUCGACGGCGGUGUUUGGCACCUCGAUGUCGGCUCAUCACAUCCUGGGGCUGAAGUAGGUCCCAAGGGUAUGGCUGUUCGCCAUUUAAAGUGGUACGCGAGCUGGGUUUAGAACGUCGUGAGACAGUUCGGUCCCUAUCUGCCGUGGGCGCUGGAGAACUGAGGGGGGCUGCUCCUAGUACGAGAGGACCGGAGUGGACGCAUCACUGGUGUUCGGGUUGUCAUGCCAAUGGCACUGCCCGGUAGCUAAAUGCGGAAGAGAUAAGUGCUGAAAGCAUCUAAGCACGAAACUUGCCCCGAGAUGAGUUCUCCCUGACUCCCUGAGAGUCCUGAAGGAACGUUGAAGACGACGACGUUGAUAGGCCGGGUGUGUAAGCGCAGCGAUGCGU
rnacentral:rRNA from 1 species